rnacentral:rRNA from 1 species
UGAAAACUGUCUGGGGGAUGGUUUGGUUUGAGAGCCGAUGAAGGACGUGCCAAGCUGCGAAAUGUCUUGGGGAGGCGCAAGGAGCCCUUGAUCCGAGAAUGUCCGAAUGGGACUUCCUGUCGUAAGACACUCCGAAAGGAGAGGGAACUCAGGGAAUUGAAACAUCUUAGUACCUGAAGGAAAAGAAAUCAAUUGAGAUACCGUUAGUAAAGGCGAUCGAAAGCGGUAUAAGGCAAACCGAAUUUUCUUUUGAAGAAAAGGAAAAGUUGUGGUGUAUGGACUCUUCCCAACAUCUAGUAUACGAAUCAGAAUGGCCUGGAAAGGUCAACCAAAGAAGGUGAUAGUCCUGUAAGAGUAAGUAUAAAGGUUACGAGGAAGAAGUUCCGGAGUACCGUGCGUCGUUAUUCGCGCGGGAAGAUGGGUGGCAUCAACAUCCAACCUUAAAUACUUCUCAAGUCCGAUAGCGUACAAGUACCGUGAGGGAAAACUGAAAAGCAACCCGGAAGGGUAGUGAAAAGUACCUGAAACCAGACAGUGAUAAACUUAUAGGGCGCUAAAGCGGUGAUCUUCCUAACACGAAGUGAGCGGCGUUCUAUUAUCCGUGUUGAAGAACGGGCCAGGGAGUUUUGUUGAGUGGCGAGGUUAACUCUUAUGAGAGGUAGCCGUAGCGAAAGCAAUUACACGCACAGCAAUGGAGGUGUAACGUAAUAAAUGCGUCAGUCACUUGAGGAAGACCCGAAUCCGGUCGAUCUACACCUGAGUAGGUUGAAGCUAAGUGAAAACUUGGUGGAGGACCCAACUGGUUCUGAUGUGCAAAUCGUUCAGAUGACUUGGGUGUAGGGGUCAAAGGCCAAUCUAGGCCGGUAAUAGCGGGUUCCCCCCGAUACUACCCGCAGGUAGACCUCAGCAGAGAUGUUGGGCGAGGUAGAGCGACCGAAUAGUUGGUUAGCUGAUGAAAAUCAGCGUCGACUUAUCGAACUCCGAACUUGUCCAAAUCGUAGAAGCUGGGUGCUAGGGUACAGGGAUAAGCUCUGUACCCGUGAAGGGAACAUCCUAGACGAGGGUUAAGGUCCCUAAAACUAACUAAGUGCAAAUUAAAGAGGUUAAUGGCCUAAGACAGUGUGGAGGUAGGCUUAGAAGCAGCCAUCCUUCAAAGAGUGCGUAACAGCUCACUCACCGAGGCUAUUUGCCUCGAAGAUGGAAGGGGCUAAAGUUAGUUACCGAGACCUUCGAGCACCGAAAGGUGAUCUGGUAGGGGGGCGUGCCAUUUGGGCGGAAGCUUCUUCGAGAGGAGGAGUGGACCGAAUGGCAUCGCGGAUCUUGGUAAAAGUAGCAGAUAAGAAUUGUGAGAAUCAAUUCCGCCGAAAGGGCUAAGGGUUCCUUGGCAAUGUUCGUCAGCCGAGGGUUAGUCGAUCCUAAGGUUAUUCCUAACAGGAGAUGACCGAAUGGGAAGACGGUUAAUAUUCCGUCACCAUGAAUGUUUUGCCAUUAAUGAAGGUUCGAGAUAAGGGGAGUACACUUGCCUGUGUAUUUCUAAUUAUAAGUGGAUGGAGAGUUGUAAUGACGUAAAGUCUGCAAAAAAUUAGCAGUUCCCGUUUGGGAAUUCCUUUAAUUCUUGGAUCCUGUGAAAACCAUUAAUGGGUCAAGUUCAUGUUCGUACCAAGAACCGACACAGGUGCCCCUGGAUGAGAAGUCCAAGGCGUUUGGGAAUAAUGGACGCGAGGGAACUCGGCCAAAUAGCUCCGUAUCUUCGGUAGAAGGAGUGCCUGUUCCGAGAGGGAACAGGUCGCAGUGGCAAGGGGACCCCGACUGUUUACCAAAAACACAGGCCGCUGCUAGUUCGAAAGGAUGUGUAUAGCGGUCGAAACCUGCCCAGUGUCGGUACCUGAAAGUCNNNNNNNNNNNNNNNNNNNNNNNNNNNNNCAAGGGAAAGAAGGGCCGAUAAACGGCGGGGGUAACUAUGACCCUCUUAAGGUAGCGUAAUACCUAGCCGCUUAAUUGGCGGCUUGCAUGAAGGUUCAACGAGAGUCCCACUGUCCCCGCGUUCAGCCCCGUGAAAUUGAUGCACUGGUGCACAAUCCAGUAUCUCCCACAUGAAAGCGAAGUCCCCGUGGAGCUUUACUGCAGCCUGUAGCUGUAAUACGGUUAUCAAUGCGUAGCGUAGGAAGGAGUUGUUAAUGCUUGGGUUUCGGUUCAAGCGGAGACGUCAAUGAAACACUUCCCUUUAAUAACUGCGUUACUAACUUUUGUGAAAAAGGACAACUAUUGGUGGGCAGUUUGGGUGGGGCGCCACGCCCCUGAGAAUCAAACAGGGGCCCCCAAAGGUUGGCUCAGGAGGGUCAGAAAUCCUCCGUGGAGUGUAAGAGCAAAAGCCAACUUGACUGUGUUCUGGUCAACAAGGGACGCAGAUGCGAAAGCAUGGUCUAACGAACCACCCAGUCCCCUCUUGAUGAGGGCGGGUGAUAAGAGAGAAGUUACCCCAGGGAUAACUGAGUUGUCCUCGGCAAGAGUUCACAUCGACCCGAGGGUUUGCUACUUCGAUGUCGUCUGUUCCUAUCCUGGUGCUGAACAAGGUGCCAAGGGUGGGGCUGUUCGCCCAUUAAAAGGGAUCCUGAGAUGGGUUCACUACGUCGCGAGACAGUAGGGUUGCUUCUCUGUGGGAGUGUUCGAUGUCUGAAGGGAAGGAGCCUUUAGUACGAGAGGAACGGGGGUUCGUGGCUUCUGGUUUACCGAUUGUCCGGCAGGGCAUUGUCGGGUAGCCACGCCAUACACGGAUAAAAGCUGAAGGCAUCUAAGCUUGAAGCCGACCCUGAAAAGAGACAUCGUUUGAGGCCACUCAUAAAAGAUGAGAUUGAUAGAACUGGGAUGUAAGUAUCAAGGUUCGCCGAGGUAUUCAGUCCACAGUUACUAAUCGGCCAAAUGUACAAUC